UACGGAGGUGGCAAGCGUUGCUCGGAAUCACUGGGCGUAAAGGGCGCGUAGGCGGGGAGGUAAGUCGGGUGUGAAAUCCCUCGGCCCAACUGAGGAACUGCGCCCGAGACUGCUUCUCUUGAGUCCCGGAGAGGAAGAUGGAAUUCCCGGUGUAGCGGUGAAAUGUGUAGAGAUCGGGAGGAACACCCGUGGCGAAGGCGGCUUUCUGGGACGGUACUGACGCUGAGACGCGAAAGCGUGGGGAGCGAACAGG
rnacentral:rRNA from 1 species